rnacentral:lncRNA from 1 species
CUAUGUGGACUUUGCUGCUGAGUCAGUGUGAGACCUUGAACAAGUCUCUGUUUGUUUCGUACCAUUCAGAUUUCCUCGUCUGUAAACAUUAAGUAUCUACAUUCACUAAAAGUAGUUCUGAAUGAAUGUUAUUUAAUGGUGCCAAUGAUGUUGGAGGAUACCUGUGCAUCUCAUGCUGUGGUUACAGCAUCAAUUGUGAUGAAUAUAGGAUACUGAGUCCCUCCUAGAAAUGACUUCAGGAACUUCACCCCCCAACUCCACAAUCUGGGAAUGGCAGACAGAUUCAGCACCAGGAGAACAUCACAUAAAGGACAAGUGUGUAUGUUUAAAAAUGGCAAGUUUCGGCCUGGCAUGGUGGCUCACGUCUAUAAUCCCAGCACUUUGGGAGGCUGAGUCUAAGUGUACAGUGCUUGUAAAGUCUGCAGUAGCAUACAGUAAUGUCCAAGGCUUUCACAUCCACUCACCACUCGCUCACUGACCCAGCCAGAGCAACUUCCAGUCCUGAAAGCUGCAUUCAUGACUCAAUCACCACAAUUGCAAUCAAAAGACGGCUUUAGUUGGAACCUGGAACGUGCUAAUCCUGUCAGGCAGCCUGUGAUUCUGGAAGUGAAGGAACAAAAAAAAAAAAAAAAAGGGAAAAUUUCACAUAAAAUUUCCAUAUGAGGAAGAAGAUGGAAACUUUUGUGUUGUGCGUUCAGUAAAACGGGCACUUUCUUAAGCAGGUGGCAAAGAAAGCCUGAGAAUCCGGCCUGACUUUUUCAUUUCAGAACCCUGCAUUUCCCACACAGAGGAGAUAGAGCACAGCCAUUGCAUGGUAGAUCCAGCUUGCUCUCACAGCCAUUGUGCAAAUAAACAUACAUGUGGCAAGGCAGUGCAGUUUUCAGUUGUUAAAAGUUCUGUCAUGCCACGAGAUGGAGCAAAGGAUAAACGCUGAUGUAAACAGGCAACAGGACUCUGACUCCACACCCCUGUCUGCACGGAGGAUGCUCAGUCCUUACACAACAAAAUGUGAGAUGCUUCCAGUCACCUCCUGGCCCUGACCCCUGAGCUCCGUGCUCACCCCACUGGAGGUCCUGGCAGUUCUCCGAGCAGGCUGUACCUGUCUGGGGUGAUCCUCUCCACUUAAUGUUAGACAUUAAGUUCCCUGUGAAAUCUGUUUUGACUCACUGAGGUUAUGAAUAUUUUAUCACAACUAUCAUCAUAUACUACCAAAUCUCCAAUUUUCUUAUCUCCAUUACUAGACUGUGAGCUCCCUGGAGGCUGGACCUGGGUUUGGCACCGAGUGGCACUCAUACAUACUUCUUGAAUAAGAGAAUUGGUGGCUUUAAAACAUGUCUACAAAUGCCUUGACCGUCUUUCCAGUGGGAGGCAGAGUCUAACUCCCUGUCCCCCGAAUGUGGGCUGGCCUUUGGGAAGAAAAGAAUAAGGUUGAAGUGAUGCUGCCCAACUUCUAAACCCAGUUCCUAAAAGUUUCAUCAGUGUAUAGAAGGAAAGAGAUGAAAUCACCAAAAGAAAGACUGACAAUAACAAAGAGAGGUCUCAGGACUAAGCCUCCUGAAGAAUGGGAUUCCCUAGAUGGAUAGGAUGGUCCCACGGAGAUUGUCAAGAGUCACGAAGUACGAGUGGAAAACAAUUUCUACUGUAGCAACAUGGAGUCAGAACAAGAUGGAAAUCGAAGAUUGGCUGUUGGACGUGGUAAAGUGAAAGUCCUGUGAACACUGAAAAGAAGCAGGUUUGAUGGAGCACUGGGGUGUUUGAUUGGAGUGUGUUCAAGAAAGAAUGUGGGGGAAGAGUGUGGGUGGCUUUAGCAAGAAGAUUUGUUGUUGAGGGGAGCAGAGACAGCAGGCAGCAAUGGAAGAAAUAGAAGGCCUGUUUUGAAUUUAAGAUGAGAUGAUGUCUGUACGUAGAUGUGAGGCAGAAACUGAUGAUGCAGUUAUCAUCAGAAAAGAAUGAAUUGCUAGAGCAAAAUCUUUGAGUAGGCAAGAGGUUAUGGCAAAGAGUAUAGAGAUCAGUAGAUUUAUGGUGGUCAGAUAAGGCAGAUCAAAGUUUUCAUUAUAUUGCUUUAUUUCUUAAUGAUGUAAAAAGGCAGUUCUUUGGAAAAACAUGACAAAGGGAAAAGACUAAAUGCAUAUGGAGAAAGAGGAAGUUUUGAAAUCAUGUACUCAAAAAGGGGAAAAGCAAACUUACUAAAGAAAUGUAAAGGGAUUGCUGGACAGUACUGAGGACUUAGUUGAUACGUGUGAUUAAAAAAUAAAGAUGAGUCCAUUCAUUAUGCUUGCAUUUAAAAAAAUACAUUCACAUUCAGUUGAUCCAGUAUGGGGGUAAAGUAGACUGAGGUAUACAAUUAUUUGAGUUACAGUUUUGCCAGGCUAGUAUGCACACAAGAGAGAAGCAAGAUAACGGAAAGUAUUUGUAAGGAAAUGGUUGUACUGAGUAUAUUGAUGAUGAAAAACCUAAGUUGGGAGGAGAGGAAAUGAGGAUUAAAAAUGGAAUAUGAACAUGGAAAAAUUCACUUGAAUGUGGUAGGUAGAUUCUCAAGAUGGUCUCCUUGAGUUACUCUGGUGCUAUGGUUGUGUUAAAUGACAAAAAAGAUUUUGAAGAUGUAAUUAAGGUUGGUGAGCCAUUGACUUUUAAGAUAGAAAGAUUGUCCAGGUGGGCUUAAGUUAACUUCAUGAGUCCUUUAAAAGCAGAGUUUUCUCUGAGGAUGUAGAAGUUUGAGAGAUUCCAAGGACGAGAAGGAUUUCAUGCACCAUAAUAGGCUUGGAAAAACAUGUUAUGAGGAAUGUGCACAGCCUCCAGGAGCUGAGAUUGGCCGCUAUCUAACAGUCAGGAGGAAAGGAGGACCUUAGGCCUACACCAACUAGGAGCUGAGUUCUUCCAAAAAUCUACAUGAGUUUGGGAAUGUAUUGUUCCCUGAGUCUCCUGAGAGAGCUCAUCCUGACUCGCACAUUGAUUUCUGCCUUGUGAGAUGGUAAACAGAGAAGAGAGUUGAGCCUGCCUGGAUUUCUGAUCUAUGGUCUAGGAACUCAAUGAUAGGUGUAGUUUUAAGACAUUAUGUUUGUGAUAUCUUGUUACACAGCAAUAGAAAACUAACACGAUGGCCAAAAGAGUGUAGAUUUUACUGAAUUUGAAGGUAAGAAAAAAGGAGGAAGUAUUCAAAUAAUCAAAUGCAUAAAACUGUAAUUUUGGAAGUGAGACUGCUAUUGGUGUUACAACAACCUUACAGUGUGAAGAAAAAAGAGAUGUUGAGGCAAGUUGUAGGAAAAACUAUUUAGAAGACAGAAGAUAAGAAGGACCUUGGGUGCCAAGAGCAGAGAGAAUGUGGAAUUAGACAUUUGGCCUUUCUUCCCAGUGACACCCAACGCCAUCUACCCCCCAACCCCACUAUACCUGCAUUUCUGGUCCUUACAUAUUGUGGCCCUAGAAAGCCUUCCUUGUCUUCUCCAGGACAAAAUGUGUAGUUUUGUUCCUCCCAAAAUUUGAUUUCAGAAAAACUAACCAAGUAUGACAGCUUGUUUGCUUACCUGUUUUAUAAAGCACCUUAUAAGUGGGCAUUGUAUGCUGUUCACCACUCAAUAUCCAGCACUUGAUCAGGAUUUCCCAUGGGAUUGGUUCUCCUUUCUAAAUAGAAUCCAAUGUUUAUUAAAAUAAAAGCAUAUUAAUGAAAAUUCUGAAUGUCUAAUAUUACAUAUGUAUGUGUACAUGCAUAUUCCUUCCUACUUAAAUUUAACUUAUUUGCAUUAGCUGAAUGAUUUCCCUUACUUCAACAAAGCCUCAUUUUGUCAAUUUUGUCAGAGCUCCUUGGGGCUCUAUUACAAACUAAGAUGUACUUUCUGUGUCUGUAUUCUGUGUGUUGUCAGAACUAGCACAUCCCUAAUGUCACAUAACUACUUACGUCCUCCUAAUUUGGAUAUACACUGGUCUGGCCAGAGUGGCUUAUUCACCACCUUGGCAAAAUCAAACAGAUUACACGCACUUUGACAAAAGAAAUGGAGGCAUAUUUUAAAUAUUUGUUUUUCAAAGCACACCAAGCAUAUAUUUUUAUGGCUUAAAAAUAUUAAAUCAAUUAAUCACAGAAAUUAAAAUGAUAAUACAAACAAAGCACAUAAACUAGAGACACAUUCAAGUUUCAAUAUAUUACCAUUACAACUCUCACGGCCAUUUCAGCAACAAUUGGAUGUAGUGUCUAGAAACAGACUACAUAAAAAAAUGAAAGCAAUUCAUUUUUGUCAUGGGGUGAACUUAUAAUUCAAGUUCCUAUCUGUAAUUUCCUGUGCUGGUAGUACAUUGAUCUCAACAGGAUUAUUGUCUGUGAAAUAACAGGGUAUAAAAUAGAAUUUCCCACUGGGACAACGAAAUCCUAUUGAAUAACCCUGAAAGGUGACAUCUACCCUGAAGUUUAUUAUAAGUAUACAUACCCAUUGGAUUUGGUCUUUUCUCCUCUGAAAGCCCUGCUUUCACUGGGCCAUGUAGGUGGAACCUCAGGCAUUAGUAUUCCCAUCACAGAUGUUCAAGGGAAUUAAAAACUCAGAGCCUACCAGAAUGUUGUGCAUACAACAGGAACUUAAUAAAUGAACAUACACAUCUAUACCUAUACAGACACAUUCUUGUCUUUCUUGUAACCUGACUGGGUGACUUCAGUCCUUUAAAUACGUAAACUCUAAUUUAUCCAAGAAGAAUUUGUCCUAAGCAUUUAUAAUUAUAUGCAUUCUUUUCACCAAAACAGUCCAUUGUAACAGAAAAAAUAAAAUUACAUAUCCAAGGCAUGCCAAAAAAAUACACAUUUCUAAGCUAAGUGUCUGCCUUAAUAAAAUAUUAUGGUAAUAUUCCCAUACCAACAAUCAUAGCCCUACAAUUAUUAUGUUAUGUUGUUCAAUAUUUUAAUGGCUGCACAAUAUUUUCCUUUUUCUAUUAAAUAUAAUAAGGUUUGGCACUUACUAUGAACUUCCUUCCUGAAGUUCAUGCUGUCUAAAUGUAAAGCAAUAUUGAUAUAAUCAUUACUUUAUCACACAUACUUUUGGUGUCAUAAUAACUCCUUGGAUAAUUUUGGAUCAGUAUCAUCAUGCUGACUACUAAUUUACAAGAAAAAUGUUCUAUUAACUACUUAUUGUAUUGAAGAUAGCCUUUAUUUUGUCAAGAAGUAUUUGUUAUUGUUAUAGAGAGUUUUGUGUCAAGAUUAUUCACAUCUAUCCAGAGCAGUAUUAGAAAUACCAGCAGAAGUUUCCUGUAGGACAAUAAUACCAGCAUACAGUGGGUGUAUCGGUAAGAAAAGUUCUCUUUCAACUAUUCAUUCUGUAUGAUAAAUGAUCGUUUUUUGGCAUCAAACUUGAUUUUUCCUAGGAGAAUUGCUUCUCUUACCCUGAACCUUCUAAUCUUGGCUGGGCUUUGAAGCAGGUGCCUUACCCUCUUCAAACCAUACCUGGGCACAUGACUUGAAUUCUGAAAGAAGUAGCUUAAUUUCUGAAAAUUAGAGUGAACAGCAGCAUUCUGAAAAAAGUGAUUAUUCCAAGUCCCUAAACCAGCAAUCUUCAGAGCUGUCCCAGCUCCCUUCCUUUCUGAGGCUGGCUUUGGCAUUUUCUCAUUUAUUUGAGGUACGCCAUGUACUUCCAACACAUUCCAUUGUUCCUUGUUAGCCAAGUUUCUUCAUGUUUCCUGCCAGCAAAGAACUCGAAUAGGACAGGCCCUGUAAUUGGGCAGGAGCCUAUUAGCAUGAUCUCCAGAGAGGUCUGUAGACAAACUCUCAUUCCAGGCAUUCAAUUCUAAGCUCAGAAACUGAUGUGGACCAUGCUCCAUUGGUAGGGAGGCUGCUGGUGAUAAAUGGAAAGAAAUCUGUUCCUAGCUGAGCACACUGUGACAGACCUGUGCAUGAUUAUUAUACCCUGAACAAUUAUCGUGCUGUGUGAUUACAUAUUGACAACUUAAAACUAGCCCUAAUAAAGGGUUCCCUAACAGAUAUCUAUGCCGCUAGCCUACAUGAAGAAAUAACUGCCCCAGAUUUGAUAUAUAUUUUCUCUUAUGUAUGGGUUUAAAGGAAGAGACUUCUAGGUCUAAAAGGUCAUUUGCUCAUUCCGACAUCAUCAUGCACAACCGUGUAAUUCCUGGUGAUGAUUUUGGCUUCUGGAAGUUUAAACUUCUGUUCUAGAUAAAUAUUGAUUUUUCUAUCAGUUGUACCUAUUCCGUCGCCUUCCUUCUGCAUCUUUAUGUAUGCAGACCUUGUUUGGUUUUAGUCUUUUAGUUUGAGCAACUAGUAAUGUGUCAAUCCAAUGGUUGAUCACUUGUGAUUUUUGUAUAUUGAUCCAAUUCUAAGUAAUCUUUUCAUAAUUUUGUGUUAUGCAUUAUUUCCUACAUUUAAACAUAGUAGCCUGCUUAUUGUAAGAAAAUAAUUCAAAUAUUUAAAUGUUAAAAAGUUGCCCUUAAUGUUGGUUGUUUAUUUGUUUAUUUUUGUUUUUAAAUAGAAUUAGUUACCUAUAAGACCUGGUUUCUAAAUAUAGCCCUUUCAAAAAGCCUUGUAACCAUUAAUAUUCAAACUCAGAUGCAUUAUUUUUUAAGUAGAUACUAGCAAAACCUGUUGGGUUAACUCACAGAGUUGUUAAAAUUGAAUGCUACAGAAUCAAAGAUUUCUACUCCUGGAAGCAAAUUUAGACUACAAUAGUCCAAACCUGUCAUUUUACAGAUAUAAAAUUGAGGUCCAAAGAGUGUGAGUAAAUUGUCAAGAUUCGGGAGCUUUAAGGACACUGUAAAGGAUAUAAAAUAGAUUCUAAAUGUAAUGUGCAAACCAAUGCAAAACGAGACAAAAAACAAAAAACCCAGAAACUGUAAUGUGAUGUAAAAUGGAAGAUUAUAUGCUUUCCAUUAGUUCUUCGAAUCAGUUUAUUCCUAAUAUGGCACGUAGGGUGAUUGAGGAGUAAGAUGUGAUUUGUGUAAGGGAAAGUACCCAAAGGCUGAGAACUCUGUCUGACAGAAUUAUAGAGAUUGAAAGGAAACCUUUAGGAACGUUGUUUAUAUUUGACAUAGAUCACCUGUUUUUAUAUCUUUUCUAUGAAAUGAUGGCAUCUGUUAAAGUUGGAAUAGUGAAAAAGAAAAGGGACUUCUGGAAUAAUUUGCGAGUUUUUACAUUUGUAUUUAUCUUCAUUCUUUCCUGAGAGGGAAAAAUGAAUUUGAUAGAUUGCAUAAUGUGUUUGACCUUAUUAAGAGAUGUUUUGCAUUUAUACGGAAGAGUUCGAAAAAAUUAGAGAUCGAUGGUUAGAAAACUAGGGACAUUUAUUCAUUCAUACUUUAGUUUUUGCCUUUAACACAUUUUACAGAGCUCCUCCAUCAGGCAUUGUUUUAGUGUACCAACAAGACAACGGCUGGGUGGUAGUUUGGGAAGUGUUGCAGCUGGCAGUUUGGAGGAAUGGCAAAGGCGCCAGAGGCUGAGGCAGAACAACAUUCAGAAGGGCUACAGAUAGGCAGAGGGCAAUCAGCCCAAGCCAGUGUAGGGCCUGCCCUUGACUACAGUGGAGGUGGGAAAUCUUGGCAGGGCUUUGAGCAGAGACUUGUGUGUCAACAGGAUCAUGCUGGCUGCCCUGUUGAGAAUGGAAUGUAAGGGCAAGGACAGAAGGAAUGUGAUGGGUGAGUAGGAUUAUGUGUGACCUGAAGGGAAGAAUUGUUUGUGCCUUGGAUGCAACUGUGGUGAAAGGAGCCUAGACUGGGGACAUAUCUGAGGGUAAACCUGCCACGACUUGCAACCUGCAUAUGGGAUAAAGAAAAGAGUGAAGGGAGAAGUCAAGUUUUUUGGCUUGGGGAAGAGGAUGAAGUUCCCAUUGGCAAAUGUGAACAAUUUCCUGCAAGAGGCAUUUAGGGACCAGAGUGGAGGUCAUGGAGGUUGUGUAAAAUCAGAAGUUUCAUUUGAAGCAUAGUUAUGGUAAAUAUCUAUUAGUCAUCCAAGUAGUCAUGUAGGGUGGAUGGUCCAAUAUUCAAGUUAGGAUCCAAGAAAGAAGUCCAGGCUGAAUGCAAAAUAUGGUGUUAUUGGCAAGGAGAUGAUAUUUAAGCCUUGCAUGCAAUCCAGGUCAGGAAGGGUGUAGGCAUGGGUAGGAUAGUGGGCUGGUCCAGGGGCUGAUCCCCGCAUUACUCCAGCCUUUUGUAGGUGAGGAGACAAAGGAAACCAGUGAGAGAGCGGAAGGAGUCACUAGCGAGGUCCAAGGAAAGCCAGUGUUCUGUGGGGUUUUAAAACAAAGUAAAGUGUUUUUAAUGAGGGGCAAGUGAUCAACUGUGGCAAAUGUUGUCACUAACUCACGUAUUAGGAAGAUAAAAAUUAUCACUGGAUUUAGUAACCUUGUUAAGAGCAAUUUUCAGGAAAUGGGGC